rnacentral:rRNA from 1 species
UACAGAGGUCUCAAGCGUUGUUCGGAUUCAUUGGGCGUAAAGGGUGCGUAGGCGGCGCGGUAAGUCGGGUGUGAAAUCUCGGGAGCUUAACUCCGAAACUGCAUUCGAUACUGGCGUGCUUGAGGACUGGAGAGGAGACUGGAAUUCAUGGUGUAGCAGUGAAAUGCGUAGAGAUCAUGAGGAAGACCAGUGCGAAGGCGGGUCUCUGGACAGUUCCUGACACUGAGACACGAAGGCCAGGGGAGCAAACGGG